AGCAGCCUCCACUGACCACUAUAUAUGGAAUAGAGGGCCAUUUGGGACUCAUCCCUUUAAUGCGGCUUAAGUGAGUGAUUCUUUGCUUUUGACUUGAGAGGUUAUGUAACUUCAGUCUGCACACAGUUGCAUAUUGAGUGUGAUCAUUGCCAAAUGCUUUAUUUGAAAUUGGCCCGGUAAAGAAUAUUUCAGUCCACAGCUAAUCACAUUGUCCUGAGCAGACUUUUCUUUGGCCUUCAUGUCUAAAAUAAUGUAAGUCGCUCUGGAUAAGAGCGUCUGCUAAAUGACGUAAAUGUAAAUGUAAAAUGGGUUAGAAAUGUUGCAAAAUAUCCUGUUGAAUCCAAAGAACUUCAGAUACCACCGCUUUGGAUGUGUACAACUUCAAGGGUUAGUUCAGUAUUUUGCCAAUGAGUCCCUUUAUCUACUUCCCCAGAGUCAGAUGAACUCCUGGAUACCAUUGUUAUGUCUCUGCGUUCUGUAUGAAGGAAGUUGCUAACUAGUGUUAUUGCAACGAUUGGAAGUCUAUGCAACUCAGGAUAACAGAUUAUUGUGAAAUAAACACAAAUUGCUUAUUGGAAAUUUGUGACAGGCACACGAAAAAGGAAUUUUUUUGAAUGUGCAGUACACGAUUUUGUAUACCGUGCAUUUCAAUCACAGAUAAAGACAGUAGGUUAUUUAGGAGGGGAGUUGGUAGGGAGGAUGGAUGGGUGUAUAACACGAACGUCUAGCAACCCAAAGGUUACGUGUUCGAAUCUCAACACCUACAACUUCAUAAUUUUAGCAACUUUGCAACUACUUGGCUAACCCUUUAACCUAACGUUAACCCUUUAACUACUUAGCUAGCACGUUACCUACCCUUAACCCUAGCCUAGCUAACGUUAGCCACAACAAAUUGGAAUUUGUGUAAUGUACACCGUGUUAAGAAAAUCGUUGUGAAAAUGGUGUAACGCACACAAAAAAGUAGACCGUUUGCCUGUCACGAAUUUCGAAUAGGUGAUUUGUGUACAUUUCACAAUAUGCGAUGAUAGUGUGUUGGAACAGAGAACGCUGUUAGCCUUAGCUUGCAAAUCUACCUACAAACUUCCUUCACAAUGGACGUAGAAACAUAAAAAUGGUUUCCACAAGUACAUCUAAUAAAGGGCGAUCAUUUUAAUACUAGAUCUAAUGACUUUUAUAGAUCAGGGGUUUUAUAUCACAGGUCAAGCUUAAGAAUGUGUAAAACUCUAACAAAACUUUAAGUGCUGAAGGAAAAGGUCAGUAAUAAAUUGACAAAAUUCAAGUGAACUGGAGAACAGAUUUAUUGAACAUUUAAGAGAAGUAGUUCAAAGCUCUGAAGUAACAGUAGAAAAUGUCGGCUUGUUUCAAAUGUAGCAUAAGAACCACAAUUAGAAUCCGUCCUACAGUUAUGUUCGAUACAUACAGUAUGGACACAGGGUAGACCAAACAAAGCAGCACUGUCCCUCACCUGUUUAAACUCCAACAACAAUUAUACUUUGACAGUUUUUAUUUGCCACAUACAGGGAAAUGUUCUGUACUUCACUUAUCUUGUGCCAUAAACCUCAAUAAUACAGGUUUACCUUUUGAAAAAGAACAUUACUGAAGGACUAAGACUCAAGCCCAUGAACUGCUCCAUUGUCAAAAAUGUUGGAAAAACAGUGUUCUAUUUAAACACUUAAACUCCCAAGAUACAAAAGGCCUCAAUAACAAUAAUUUACUUUUGUACAUUACGACUUAUUUUUCCUCUGUAAUUAUAUUCAAUUUUAAAACCUAUAGUUAUUUACCUAAAAUGAUAUGGCAGAGGCAAACGUACAGCUACUGUUUGUCAGCUCUGAAACAAAAAAAAUAUGUUGUCGCAGUCCUUUCAUUUUACACAGUGAAAAUCCCUUUGAUGCUUUAAAAACAGAAAACAUCUAGUAUCACUGGGGGGGGGGGAACACCACACACAAAACAACCUCAACCCCCCCAAAGAAGUAGGAGAGCAGAGGUAUUGGCGGUAAUGAGAAUGCUUAGGAUAUAUGAUUAAGAAUUCUCAAUGGGGCAGGACAUACUGUUGUGUGUGAGAAACUCUAAUGGUGAGUAUUCCCAGUACCCACAGUAGAUUGGUCCCAUGGGGUGGGGAGGUUCAGUACCCACAGUAGAUUGGUCCCAUGGGGUGGGGAGGUUAGAGUCCAAACUGUUAUGCAAAUACCAUCAAAAACCUAUCAUUGCC